rfam:Trichobilharzia regenti genome assembly, scaffold: TRE_scaffold0053075
AUCCAACUGACGAGUCCCAAAUAGGACGAAACGUAUAACCUCGAU